ACUGUGGGCACAUGGAAACACAGGUCACAUGGUCAUAGAAGGGUAAAGACGUGACCAGGAUAGAGACAAUAUCUGGUCAAUAAUAAUGCAGCUGGGUCUGGGAUGGAUGCUGCUGACACAUUCAAACAACCAUGUGCAGUAAAGAUGAAGGGAUUUUAAAGGAAUUACAUUUAUUGACCACAUCGACUCCAUGUCAACUUUUCUCUAGUAAUCUAGUGCUCUUUUGUCGUUAGCUAGCUAAGUGGAAGUUUAGGGUGAUGUGUAAAAUUGAUUUUAGUAAAUAAUCAGUAAAUAAUCCGGCACACGCAGCAGACGAUGCAAUACAGUCUUCUUAUAGAACAUAAGGUAUAUAUAGUGUUGAUUUUAUUUGGAACAAUAAUAAAAUUAUAUGAAAUGUAUUUAAUUUAAAUAAGCUGUUUUUGUACUAAGAGUUGUUGAAUUUUUAUUCAUUUCAUGCAGAUUUUUGGUCGACCACUGGGUGGCGCUGCGGCCUGUAUUGAGUUUGAGAUGAGCGCCAACUGUGUGGGGAAACUGUGACGUGACUUCCCGUUUUUAUUCUGUGUUGAGCCAUGUUCAGAAGCUGUGAAACCUGUGUUCAGGGCGCUGGCGAUGCCCUGCUGGCACAGGAGCUGAAGGCUGGCCACCCUGUGUUCCACACGCACCACGUACAGGGCUGGACCGCAGGCGAGGAACAGACGAGAGUCUCGAUGACCCCAGCAGAUGGUGGUGAUGGGCCUCUGGAAAAACACAUUCCAGAACUUAACCAGGGCGUUUCUCGUGAUGGAUGCACAAACUGAGUCGGCAGGAAGCCCAUGUUUCUCCAUACCGGCCACAGCCAGCAGAUCUCCCUGUGAACACCACUGGGCCUCAACAUCUAAGGAGAUUUGGAAAUUUACAAAGGUAUCAGUUCUCACCUGAGCUCCUCUAUCGUUCACCAGCUCCACAGACCAUCUGCCUUCAUACUGGAUCCACACAAAAAUCCCUCCUUCCAUAUCACAGGUG